CCUACGGGAGGCUGCAGUGGGGAAUAUUGGACAAUGGGGGCAACCCUGAUCCAGCCAUGCCGCGUGUGUGAAGAAGGCCCUCGGGUUGUAAAGCACUUUCAGUGAGGAAGAACGCCUGGUGGUUAAUACCCAUCAGGAAAGACAUCACUCACAGAAGAAGCACCGGCUAACUCCGUGCCAGCAGCCGCGGUAAUACGGAGGGUGCGAGCGUUAAUCGGAAUUACUGGGCGUAAAGCGCGCGUAGGUGGCUUGAUAAGCCGGUUGUGAAAGCCCUGGGCUCAACCUGGGAACGGCAUCCGGAACUGUCAAGCUAGAGUGCAGGAGAGGAAGGUAGAAUUCCCGGUGUAGCGGUGAAAUGCGUAGAGAUCGGGAGGAAUACCAGUGGCGAAGGCGGCCUUCUGGACUGACACUGACACUGAGGUGCGAAAGCGUGGGUAGCAAACAGGAUUAGAUACCCUAGUAGUC
rnacentral:rRNA from 1 species